rnacentral:rRNA from 1 species
UGAUCCGGUGGUUCUGAAUGGAAGGGCCAUCGCUCAACGGAUAAAAGGUACUCCGGGGAUAACAGGCUGAUACCGCCCAAGAGUUCAUAUCGACGGCGGUGUUUGGCACCUCGAUGUCGGCUCAUCACAUCCUGGGGCUGAAGUAGGUCCCAAGGGUACGGCUGUUCGCCGUUUAAAGUGGUACGCGAGCUGGGUUUAGAACGUCGUGAGACAGUUCGGUCCCUAUCUGCCAUGGGCGUAGGAAAAUUGAGAGGGUUUGCUUCUAGUACGAGAGGACCGAAGUGAACGCACCGCUGGUGUUCGGGUUGUGAUGCCAAUUGCAUUGCCCGGUAGCUACGUGCGGAAUAGAUAAGUGCUGAAAGCAUCUAAGUACGAAACUAGCCUCGAGAUGAGUUUUCCCUGAAGAGAUUCAGUAAGGUCCGUUUGAGACUAAGACGUAGAUAGGUCAGGUGUGUAAGUGUAGUGAUACAUUGAGCUAACUGAUACUAAUGAACCGAGAGUCUUAACCUUACAACUC